ACCUCUAGCAGAGCGCGUCGCACGUCCGAGUACCGGCCGCCGCCCGUCAUCAGUCGCCGUACUAACGCGCAGCCCAACGUAACCUCUUUACCUUCUUAGUUUUUAGUAGUUCAGUAGUAGGAUAACACCAACAACAACAACACACACACACACAUACACACACACACACACACCAUAUUAAUGAACCAACUCAACAUUCGUAUUUGAAGGAAUAGGAAGAAAAAAAACGAACAAACAAUAGAUACAUCGGGGAUAGAAGGAAAAUAAGGAGAGAGCGACACUCGCCGGUCGCUUUGCCAUCCCUGUAAGAAGCAACAAGAAUAUCAUUAAGAGGGGCUAAUCAUUUUCAGAAGCCCGAUAUCGUUGUUUCUUUUUUUUUUCUCCGAGUUACGAAAUUAACAAGGACGUGAAACCUCGACGUGAAAGAGUGCCCAACGGACAACCUCAUAUGCGAACGUUUUCGCUGCUGUGAAAAUCAUUACAAGAGAUAACAGUAGAUGAGAAAGAAUAGCAUAAAAAUAUAUCGGAGAACGAAUCUCCUUCGUUUUGUUGGAGCAUUGUGUACAACAAAGCGGAACUGACAACACACGUGCUCUUCUUCUGCUUCUUCUUCUUCUUCUUCUUCUUCUUCUUCUGCUUCUUCUGCUUCUUUCAGCUUCCCUCCGCAUAUCGAAAUCAUUUGACAAGCAUCCGAGGCACAAAGAAGUCCUUCUGAGCAGCAGCUAAAUACGAUAUUGAAUAAUUUGAAAAAAUAAAACUCCGCGGUGGAUUUAUUGUUUUCUUUCUUCUUCUCAUUCGUACUCUCCGCUUCUGCUUUGUCUUGGUCAACUUGAAAUCUUGGAAUCACCUCGACUCUCGCACAAUUGUUAAAAAUCAUAGAACGUAUGACUGUUGACGACGAGGAUUCGAAGAGGAUCUCGCGUUAUUUCCGGCCUGUCGAAAACACAGAGAGCCUAAUUAAUAAUUAGAUAAAUGAUAAAUCGUAACCGGAUCGUUACCAGGACGAGAAGAAGCGCGGUUCGAUUGAUAAUAUCGUCGGAAUAAACCGCUGAAGGAGUGUGUCUCGCAUCGUUCAAACAAUCUUGUUCAUCACGCUGGAUCGUAUGUUCUCGUGGUGCGUGUGACAGUGCGCGUAAACACAAAGAUCGAGCCGAGGAUUCAUUCGAUACGCUUGAUCGACGACAUUAAUAGUCCGAAUAAAUGAAGGAAUUACGGCUCUCUCGUUAAUUCUCGUUAACCUCAAUAUCUAAUCGUCUAAUCCUGCUGAAGCACAAGUUAAAGUCCCUCUCGGUUGGAAAUUCGAGGGCGGGAGGGAGGCAGGAAGGAGACCUCUCACCAUCGCGAAAACCAAAGUUCGGAGCGAGCGCUUAAAGCUGCCAGAGAUCCCGAGGAAAGUCUGGGAUAAAGCUCGAAAGGAUUUUUCAAGAGCGUGCAAGUGCGGCUUCGAGUUUACCCGGCUAGUGGCAAAAUACACACACGCGAGCACACUAACACAGUAGAGUUUACGCACGCGCGAAAAAAAACAAGGAAGGAGGUACGAAGAGCGCGGGCGCGCUUCGAGCCAAAAGCGAGAGAGAGAGAGAGAGAGAGAGCGAGAGAGAGAGAGAGAGAUUGAGAGAGGGAGGGAGAAAGAGAGAAAUAGAGAAAUAGAGAAAGAGAGAAAUCGAGAUCGAGAUAGUGUAGACAAGAUCUCUGCGGAUUUUCCGUGUGUGUGUUUGUGUGUGUUCUCUGUGUUUCUCCUCUUCUCAUCUCCGUGUGUGGGUGUGAGUGAUUUUGUGCAUCAAAAAGUAGAUAUAUCAAUCUCAGUGAAAUUAUUUCAAUAAAAAGAGAAGAAAAGUCAAAGGGAUUAUAUAUUCCAGUGGUGUUUGUCUGUGCGGGGCAAGAGAAAUCAUUGGCUUCGCGCAAAGCGACUAAAAUAAUAAAUCAAUUGAUACAAUUAUUGUUGUUCGGUAAUCGUCUCGUACUUUGUGCAUCAUGGAACCUCAGAAUCAGGAAAUUGUCGCGAGUGCAUCUUUCGCCGAGGUUCCCAACGACCCAGGAAAAAUGUUCAUCGGCGGUCUUUCAUGGCAGAGCAGUCCAGAGAGCCUCAGAGAAUACUUCACGAAAUAUGGCGACAUCACAGAAGUCAUGGUUAUGAAAGACCCAACAACACGACGGUCAAGCAGCGGUGAACCCGUACCGUAUAUGGUGGACAGUGCCGGCCUCAUGUUCACGCCAAGGGGAUUUGGUUUUAUCACUUUUGCGGAUCCCGCCAGUGUUGACAAAGUACUCUCUCAAGGGAACCACGAAUUGGACGGGAAAAAAAUCGACCCUAAGGUAGCAUUUCCAAGAAGGACACAUCCCAAGAUGGUGACAAGGACGAAGAAGAUAUUCGUGGGGGGCCUCUCGGCCCCGACGACGCUCGAGGACGUCAAAAAUUAUUUCGAACAGUUUGGCCCGAUCGAGGAUGCCAUGCUGAUGUUCGACAAGCAGACUAGCAGGCACAGAGGUUUUGGAUUCGUCACGUUUCAGAGCGAGGACGUAGUUGACAAAGUAUGCGAGAUUCAUUUCCACGAGAUUAACAAUAAAAUGGUCGAGUGUAAGAAAGCCCAACCGAAAGAAGUGAUGCUACCCGCGAAUUUGGCGAAGACACGAGCAGCCGGCAGAGGUGCAUACGAUUUUAUGUGGUCCCUGGGAGCAUUACCCGAUGGUUUCCCAGCGGCAGCGUACGCGGCAUACGCGGCAGGCCGCGGCUAUUCGGGGUACCCUAGUUUCGGACUACCCUACCCGACAGGAGUGCCGGCAAUGUACUACCACGGAACCCCAGGGAACGAGAGUGCGGGUCGCCCGUACUCAGAGCCUACGAUGCAACAUCUACAAAGGAGUUCACUGCGGAAGAAAUUGGAUCUGACCAACGGACAACUCACCCCGAACAACAACACACCAUUGCUAACGCAAGCACUUUCUGUGAUGAACAAUUACCAGGCAGCUGCACAAGCAGGAUUUCCUCCAGCCUCGCCCCACGGUGGCGGGGGCCACGGAGGUCCGCAGGGUCGUUCGUUUCCAGCGGCAAAUUCGCCCGGUCCAAUUGACAUGUACAGUACGAGUGCAGCAGCGGCGGCAGCGGCCGCGGCCGCCGAUUCUGUUGCAAGUUACGUCCAGGCAGCGGCUAGUCCCCAGCCACCGACAACAGCGUUUCCCGCGAUCGCAGUUUCCCGGGCCCCGCUCAACUACAGUCCCUACUCACAGCAAGCCCCUCAGUGUGUCUAUUAUGCACCCCUUUCGUGAGUAAUAAUCGUGAGUAUGGUGAGUGGGGAGGGGAGCGAGCGAGCCAAGAGGGAUAGGACAGUGUCUUGGAUGUUAGAUCAAAUUGGCACUCGCUCUCUUCGUACACUCGGGCACAAGACGAUCUCGUCACUUGGAUUAUGCCAAUAUACGAGGGAAAAAGAGGAUUUUCGUAAAGACCCGAGGACACGCGCUGCCCCAAGUCUCAAGAAAACACAUAUAAUAAGUGGUCCUCUGAUACCAGCGGCGUUCACUAAUGGCUACCAUUGAGCCUUGUUAAGACCUAACAACAAAAUGGACGAGAGGGCAACGCGCGGCAAGAUCGACUGACGGCACAACGAUAAAAUGCCUCGCGCAAAUGAUCACACUAAUUAUAUCAACGUCAUCAACACCUAUUUAUGGCAAUGAGAGACACGAGAAUUUCUCGGACCUGGAAGAUAUUUGAGAGACGGUGUAAAAAAAAAAAAAAAAAAAAAAAAAACAAGAAGACCGUAACACAGUCAGCUCCGGCAUGAAUCCAAAGAGGCGUGAGCAGUGACUAGAUGAAAUUAAAAUAAAACUGACCUAUUGGCUCGACCGUUUACUAUAUGAAAACAUUUUGCGAAACCGGGCAAGUACGAAGGAUCGCAUUAUUUUCUGAUAAAAGCAUUUUAUCGGCGUCAAAAACACCAAUUCAACAAAUAGAAAACACGAGGUUCCCCCCCCCCCCCCCCACGCACACACACACUCAUACAUACAUACAUACACACGCGCGCGCGCGCACACACACACACACAGAGACUCAGCGCACACAUACGCAAACCUACACACUCAAAAACGAGCCCAUACACAUACGCGCGCAUGAGGCAAAGGUCUGAGUCGAUCAGAGAAAAAAAAUGAACAACUGGGCAAAAUUGAAGACCGAAGAAUGCUUUCGUCACUCGUGAAUCCAGUAGCGAGGAGAACUCGAGCGUAAAGAUGAUUGAAAAAACACCAAAGCCACGGCCGUAUCUGCAUAUUUGGCGCCCGCCCAUUCUCCGACAUUGAAAAAUAAUAAUAAUAAUAAUGAUAAUAUAUGAAAUAAUAAUCAUAUUAAUAAUACCGAAGGGGCGAGGGGGAAUAAUGAUUGAAAUAUAUAUAUAUAUAUAUAUAUAUAUUAAUAAACUAAUUAUUAAUUGCUAAAUAAUUAAGCGGUCAAGUCUAUGAUAUAAAUAUACACGUAUGCAUAUAUCCCCAUAUGUAUUUAUACAUAUGGGAGUGUGUGCAUAUAUUACGAUAUAAAUAAUUGAUAUCUCAAUACAGAGAAAAACGAAUAUGAAAGAGAAAAAUAAAGAAAAAUCGUUAGGAUGUAAUUACGAUGAAUUACCAAUAAUUCACGCACGAAUAAUAUAAUAUAUAUAUAUAUAUAUAUAUACAUAUGUACGUGUAUGUAUAUAAGGUUAUAAUAUAAUCGAUUAAUCGUUAUUAUCGAUUACUGAGGAAUGCGCAAACAUGCAGCCUCAAAAAUAUUCUAUUGAAAAAAAAAAUGGGGAAGACAAGCACGGAUCACGCGUACAUUUUGGUACAUAAUUUUUAUUAUAUUAUUCGUUGAUAUCGUUGAUGUAAAAAAAAUUAUUGUAGAAAUGAUUCUCCAUUUUUUUUACUUCGUUUUGUUUGGAGAUUUUUUUAGUUCUCUCGUAUAUCAUAAAAAAUUAAUGAUUACUGAUAACGGGAAAUAAAAAUGGAGGGUUUACUCUCGAUUCGUUAAAAAAAAUUGUCCCUUCAGGUAUAUUGAGAUUAAAAUCCCAAUUACCAUGAUCGAUUAUCUCGAAGAAUGAUUAUAGGACAAUGUUUGGAAAGAACAAUGAAAUUGUGAGAAGUAAAAAUAAUUAAUUAUGAGAGAGAGAGAGAGAGUGUGAGGGAAGGGGAGCGAGAGGGCGAGAGAAAGAAACACAGAGCGAAUGGAUUUUAACGUUUAAUAUGAAACGAUUUAUUAAUUAUUGAUUAAGUGAAUUAUUAAGAGAAAUGAAAGAGGUAAGGGAUUGAAGUAAUAAGAAAAAGAAUUGUUUCUGUGACGUAACUAGGCGCGAGGAUGAUGAAACAGGAUUGAAAAAAACGAACAAUAAAUACGAGUAACGAGCGAGUGUUUUACGUUUUUGUAAUUUUAAAGAACGCCAACACCAAUCUCUUGAGAAAAAAAAUAUAUACGUAUAUAUAAAUAAAUACAUAUAAAUAAAUAUACGAUCGAUGAUGGUCGUUUGAUGUUCGAAAGAGCAAUGAAGAUUCAAUUUAUUCUGUAGAGUGAAAUAUUGCGACAAGCACGUACAGCGAGAUGAAAAAAAAAAAAAAGAAAAAGCAAACCCAAACAAAAUUCGAAUCAUUUACGAACACCACACUUUUUACAUGUGCAAUGAAUAAUUCUCAUAGCGCUUGAAUUACAUGUUUUCGUUUUUCGUCACCUCGUCCGAAAAAUCUUCAAAGAAAAGAAUUGAGCUAUUAAGAAGCAAGAGGAAAAAAAAGAGUAACAAUGGGAAGAAAAAACAAUAAGCAAAAAAAGGGGUAUGUCUGUGUUCGUUAAAAUCUGAUUGAGUAUUUAUUAUACACUUGAUAUUUAUUGAAUUUGCAAAUUAUGAAAAACAAUUAAUAUAAACUAUUCGUAUCAUUACCAUAAUUAUUAUUUGUAUUAUUAUUAUUAUAAUUAUUAUUAUAUGUCAAUAGCAUGUGUCAAUUUGCUGAGCCAAGAGUUCCCGCGGCUCCGACACAUUAUUAUUGUUGUUGCUGUUAUUAUUAUUAUCAUUAUUAUUAUUAUUAUUAUUAUUCCUAUUAUUAUAAUUAUGAAUAAACGACUAUAUGUACGAUUAUAAUACGGUUAUAUUAUAUUCGACGACAGGGUAAAUAAGGACGAAAAAACAAAACUCUCAAAUAGUGAAAUAUAAACUGAGGAAAAAAGGGGCCGGUUGAAAAGCGAGAUGAAAGUUCGCGAAGAGACACGCCGAACGUCGACCAUUUUGUCCUUUUUUCUCUUUGAUUAUGUCCGUUGCAAUGAGAAUAAAAGUUGAAAAAAUUAAUUAAAAUAAAAAAUAAACGAAAAAAGACUUUCGUGAGUAAUAAUCUCUUUGGAGCACGUGCCUGAGCGCGAACGGUGUCAAUUCUUGUGAACGCAGCAAUACUUUUGCGAUAACAAACAAAAUAAACUUAAACAUACACGAACACACAUAAACACAAGUUAAGUGGGAUAAAUAGAUGAAGAAAAUUCAGAAAAAAAAAACGAAACAACCAAACACUAAAACAUCGUAACCAAAUGGUAGUCGGUUCGUUACUUCAAGAGGGAACAACAAUAAACAAGAUUGACUUGAGAAAUAUUGGAAAAAAAAUCUGAUUCGGUCAAAAAAACAUGAUCAUCAAUACUGAAAAUAAGAAAUUGCCGGCACACCGUUUUUUUUUUCGUAAAAAAUAGAAAGAACUCGUUUUGAAGUUAUUUAUUUGAACGUAAAAACAAAACAAAAAAAUGCAAGGACGAAUGAACGACUGAAAUUUUAUCGAAAACGAUACAAGUUAACGUUUCCGAAUGAAACAGGGCGUUAAAAUUAAACUGAUGAAACACGCUCACCUCGCUCCGCGUACGUCAAACAUUCGAGGGUAAAUUUUGUUCGCUUAUUUCAGAGAAAAUUGAUGAAAACUAUACCUAUAUUGACAGUAAUAAUAAUAGAAAUAAUAGUUAUAAUAAUAAUAAUAAUAAUAAUAAUAAUAAUAAUAAUAAUAAUAAUAAUAAUAAUAAUAAUAAUAAUAAUAAUAAUAAUAAUAAUAGUGAUAACAUUAAUUAUAAUAAAUCUAAUAAAAUUAAGAGUAAUACUACUGAUAACAAUAAGGAUAAGGUUUGAGAAAAUGAAGAAAACAAAUAUGUUAAGACACUGUAGCCCAAGAAAAAAAUUAUGUUAGGGGAUCAUAAUCCGGUAUAUCGCAUGAAUAAAUUAAACUAUAACCACGGAAGAUUGAAAAAGACAGAAGGGAUUGCGAAUGAGAAUAAAAUAAUAAUAAUAAUAAUAAUAAUAAUCACGUGUACCCAACACACAAACGUUGCAUCCAACAAUGAAGUGAGGUAAUUAAAAAAAAAAAAAAACAAGAAAGGAGAAGUAAAAAAUAAUAGCGAACACUACAAGGAUAUAACACCAGCUCAA